GCCGACUCCCAAUUCUGCCGACAUAGCGAGAGAGAGAGGGGGAGAGAAAGGGAGGAGGAGGUCACGGCUAAGGGGAGGGAGGAAGGAGAGGUCCGGUUUCGACGAUCCAACUCGGUGACAAGUAACGAGCCGGUCUUUUAGGAGGUGCCGAAACCGUAAGUUUGGCAUACUCCAGUCGAAUGAAAGGUAGCAGGUGGCUUAGAGUGGGUCCACUACUGGUCAACUCUUUGGAGAGUGCUAGACUAGCGUCGGGUGAUGUCUUUGGUUAGAUUGUUGCGUAGCUGAUUCGUCUAGAAGCUAACCUAAAUGUUAUGUAAUUAAUUUGAGAGAGGGAUAUUUAUUAUAACUUGAGAGUUGAGGUUUUGGGCGUUGACUUGGUUGUAUUUUAAGUGAGAAGUCUUCCGCUAAUUUGUAUUCUGAUUGGUUGUAGAGUGUGGUGUGGUCUAUUGUGUGGAAUGCCGCGUGGCCGCGCUGACUCGGGCCCACUCUGGGUGCCGUUUGCGGGGCGGGGCGUGACAGCUUGGUAUCAGAGCUAGUACUUUCUAGACUCUGUGUUGAGAGUUGGUUGGGGGUUGGUAGUGGACCAUAGGAGUUGAGUUUGUCGAGUAGCGGUUAGGGAUUUAACUAACGUGUGAGUUAUAUCCAUAACCAUUGUGUUUGAUGUUGAUUGUUGAAACAGGUUUUUUCUGAUAAACGGAUUUGAAUCAUACGGUAUGUGUUGAGGAUGUUAUAUUUGGUGACGGUGUGGGAUGAACAACGGAUGUAGUUGACAAUGUGUUGUAGUUGUGGCACAAUUCACAUGAAUGCAGGGUAUUGAUAUGGCUCGAUUCAUGGGGUAGCAGAUGGUUGUGGUUCAUUGGCAGUUUGCACAGGGUUCAGGUACGUGUUUGCUUGAAAGGUUUAAAGUGAUUUUCCUUGUACAGUUUGAGUGGGGUUAGUAUCCCUUUCAUUGCGGGAGGAUGUGUGAGAUUUGUGGUACUAGAACUAAAUGUUUUGAGCAUAGUGUCGGCGGUAUCGUAGGUGGUGGUGUCGGGGGGGUUUUGACAAGAGUUGUAUCUGUUGGGGUUGUUUGAUGAUUAUGGGGUGAUCAUGUUUGUGGAAAUUUUUGUGUUAAGGUUUAUUUAGGGUAGUGAUGUGCUUGUGGCAUAUGAUUUGGGUUGAGGGGAGAAUGAUUUAAGGUUGUGUGGUGUGUGAGUCCUAUGAUAGUGCGAGUAGUUGAUGAGGUGAAUACGUGGAUGUUAUAAGUUUUGGAGAGCUUAGUUUUAGUGGAUUUUAAGUUGUUGAGCUUGUAUGAGAGAAUAACAUAAUAGUUUGGAGUUUUGUGGGAAUGGUUUUGUUCAUUCCGUGAACUGGAAUAUGGUUAUGAUAGUCUAUGAGGGGAUAGUUGUGGGCGAGUGUUUCUAUGUUGUGGUUAUCAGUGUGGAUGAGUUAAGAGGGAAAUAGAUUAAAUGUGUUGUUAAGGUUAUAGUCUGGUGGGAGGUAAGGUUUGGGAAGCAGAGCGUGAGCUAGUAAGCGGUUGGUAAGUGGUUGUGUAACAUUGACACGUUAGUGUUUAAAUUAUGGAUUAAAAGAUUAUUCUGUUGGUGAGUGUCCUAUUGGAACUUUGGAUUUUGUGGAAAGUUUAUCAUUUCAAUGUGAACUAGUGGUUUUACUUAGGUUGUAGUGGGUUAGUUAACGAGGUCAACACAUCUUUUACCGGUUGAGGUUACUUAUACUACGGAUAAGUGUGCAAAAUUGUAUAUUGAUGGUAUUGUUUGGUGCACAGGGUGCAUGUGUACUGCGGAGUUGAGUAUAACAACGGUUACUAGGGUUGGAGGUUGGUGAGAGGCAGAGAGAUGGUGAGGGUGAUGGUGAUGGCAGUGAAGGUGAUAGUGGUAAUGACGAGGAUGAUUGUGAGGAUAGUGAGAAUGGUAGUGAUAGUGCUGAGGAGAGUAAGGAGCAAAGGUUUCAAGUUUAGUGAGAGUUAGAGUUUUGAGAAAUCCAAAGAGGGUUCAGAGGAGACGAGAUAGGAGUACAGGCAGUGGUUAGUGGCGGUGAAUGUCGAUACGUUCGUUGUGGUCGAUGGAGCAAUUGGUCAGAGAGGGUUCGGGGUGUUGAAAAGUAUACAGGGUUACUGUGUGGCGAGUUUGGGCACAAAGCGGCACAGUGUUCAAGGGUGCAGGAGCCGGCGAUGGAUUCGUUCGAAUAGGUGCCAGGUAUUUUUAAGUUUUGUUAAUGAGUUGUGGGUAGAGUAAUUUUUGAGGAUUCUUGUGUGUGGGGUUGGGAUAACUUAUGGGUGAGUUGGGUGUGCAUUUUCGUUUAAGAUACUGUGCUUGUGUGAGGAGUUGUUGAGAAUUUUCGUGCCCUUGUGUAAAGGUAAAGUGUGAGGGAAUGGAGAGAAUAUAAAUGUAUCUUGAUGAUAGGAUACCAUGCUAGAGUGUGAGUGAGUGUUUUGUGUAUAUCUAUGUGGAUAAUAUAUAUAUCUUGUUGAGUAGAGGAUGUAUAUGUAUGCGUAGUGUGUGUGUGUGUCCUUAAGUGUUACGCCAAGAUUUUUGGACUUGUUUGAAAUCCAGUUGGAACCGCGUCUGCGCAACGUAGUUUCCGGCGGGAGGUCUUACAUUGUCUCUAGAUUGGGUGGUGGCUCUUUGGGACGGUGUUGUGUGUAGGUGGGGUAUUUAUGUUUUAAUUUUAUGGGUACCGUGUUGUGUGCUAGUUGUUGUCGAGAGAAGUGAUUGAUAGGGCUGGUGCGAAUUAUGAAUUGUCCUUGCUAAGGAAGUUACUGGUGUUGGGAUAUGUUGAGCUUUAACGAGAGUUGGAGAUUUGUUUUUGGUGGUGUUAUUGAGUUUGAGGUUGGGUGUUGUGUGGUUACUGAGUAAUUUUGAGUGUAUGCAUGUUUGAGGUUAUUUUCUUUGAGGUAAGAUUUGGGUAGAGGUUGGAUUUAUUCUUUUUGAAGUUUGGUUUUUGUCUACAUGUGGAUGAGUUGUGUAAGUUGGUGAAGGUGUUUGUUUUGAGGAUGGUGUUGGUAACAUUGUGAGGUUGGUUGUUGUUGAUUUUGUGGCGAGUGCUAUUUCGGGGACGAAAUAUUCCAAGUGGGGGAGAGUUGUAACACCCAUCCCGGGAUAUUUAGAGUUUCAAUUUAAUUUUGAGGUUUGGGGUUUAAUUUGUAUUUGUUGGAUUCUAUGAGGGGCCUUGGUGUGAUUUACAUGGAGAAUUGUUAUUGGUUUGGAGUAUAAGUUGAGAGGAGAGGUGACCACAUAGGAUUUCUUCCUAAGUGACUAAAUAGCCAUCAGAUUCUUCCCAAUUCUGCCGACUCCCAAUUCUGCCGACAUAGCGAGAGAGAGAGGGGGAGAGAAAGGGAGGAGGAGGUCACGGCUAAGGGGAGGGAGGAAGGAGAGGUCCGGUUUCGACGAUCCAACUCGGUGACAAGUAACGAGCCGGUCUUUUAGGAGGUGCCGAAACCGUAAGUUUGGCAUACUCCAGUCGAAUGAAAGGUAGCAGGUGGCUUAGAGUGGGUCCACUACUGGUCAACUCUUUGGAGAGUGCUAGACUAGCGUCGGGUGAUGUCUUUGGUUAGAUUGUUGCGUAGCUGAUUCGUCUAGAAGCUAACCUAAAUGUUAUGUAAUUAAUUUGAGAGAGGGAUAUUUAUUAUAACUUGAGAGUUGAGGUUUUGGGCGUUGACUUGGUUGUAUUUUAAGUGAGAAGUCUUCCGCUAAUUUGUAUUCUGAUUGGUUGUA